CUCCUACGGGAGGCAGCAGUGGGGAACUUUGCGCAAUGGGGGAAACCCUGACGCAGCAACGCCGCGUGGAGGAUGAAGUCCUUCGGGACGUAAACUCCUUUCGAUCGGGACGAUAAUGACGGUACCGGAAGAAGAAGCCCCGGCUAACUUCGUGCCAGCAGCCGCGGUAAUACGAGGGGGGCGAGCGUUGUUCGGAAUUAUUGGGCGUAAAGGGUGCGUAGGCGGUUUGGUAAGUCUUAUGUGAAAUCUAUGGGCUCAACUCAUAGACUGCAUGAGAAACUGCCGGGCUUGAGUAUGGGAGAGGUGAGUGGAAUUCCUGGUGUAGCGGUGAAAUGCGUAGAUAUCAGGAGGAACACCUGUGGCGAAAGCGGCUCACUGGACCAUAACUGACGCUGAUGCACGAAAGCUAGGGGAGCGAACAGGAUUAGAUACCCUGGUAGUCCUAGCCCUAAACGAUGACUGCUUGGUGUGACGGGUACCCAAUCCCGCCGUGCCGUANCUAACGCGUUAAGCAGUCCGCCUGGGGAGUAUGGUCGCAAGGCUGAAACUCAAAGGAAUUGACGG
rnacentral:rRNA from 1 species